rnacentral:rRNA from 1 species
GUUGAACGCUGGCGGCAGGCCUAACACAUGCAAGUCGAACGAGUGGCGGACGGGUGAGUACUGUCUGGGAACCUGCCUGAUGGAGGGGGAUAACUACUGGAAACGGUAGCUAAUACCGCAUACCAUCGGAUGUGCCCAGAUGGGAUUAGCUAGUAGGGGGGGUAACGGCUCACCUAGGCGACGAUCCCUAGCUGGUCUGAGAGGAUGACCAGCCACACUGGAACUGAGACACGGUCCAGACUCCUACGGGAGGCAGCAGUGGGGAAUAUUGCACAAUGGGCGCAAGCCUGAUGCAGCCAUGCCGCGUGUAUGAAGAAGGCCUUCGGGUUGUAAAGUACUGUCAGCGGGGAGGCGGUACCCGCAGAAGAAGCACCGGCUAACUCCGUGCCAGCAGCCGCGGUAAUAC